rfam:Rhizobacter sp. Root1221 contig_14, whole genome shotgun sequence.
UUGCGUUCUCAGGGCGGGGUGAAACUCCCCACCGGCGGUGAUGGCGACUCGAUCGCACAAGCCCGCGAGCGCCCGGCACUCCCCGUGCCGGGGUCAGCAGACCCGGUUGGAUUCCGGGGCCGACGGUCACAGUCCGGAUGAAAGAGAGCGCGA